AGGUGCAGAAACAUCGGGUGAAACAUCGAUAACAUCGAUGUUUUCAAAACAUCGGAACCAUCGAUGGUUCGUGACCACCAUCGAUGUUUUCACAAACAACUCUGCGCUCGGUGAGAAAAAAUUGAUUUCUAGUUGAUGGUGUUGGUGGACGUUGAUGGAUGACGAAGGCAAGAUUGAGAAUUACCUGAAAAGAGUGAAACCGACAGAGGAAGUUUAGACGGAGUCAGCACAAAAACGUAAGAGAGAGCGAUCGGUUGUUUGGGACCACUUCAAAAAGAGCAGUGACAAAGCGUAUGGCAUUUGCAACUACUGUGGAAAACAUCUUAAGACAGCUGGCAAUACCUCAAACUUGCUUGACCAUCUUAAGCGCUGUAUACAAGCCUCGUCCUGUGAGUCUGAACGAGUAUUCAGCAAAGCUGGACAAACCAUAUCUGACCGCAGGACAAGGCUUAAACCUGAAGUUGUUGAUCAACUUUUGUUCCUGAAUAGAAAUAGACACUUUAAAUGAUCUCAAAUAAAUCUCAUGUUACUGUU